CCUUUAGAUACCCGGGUAGUCCACACCGUAAACGAUGAAUGCCAGUCGUCGGGUAGCAUGCUAUUCUGUGACACACCUAACGGAUUAAGCAUUCCGCCUGGGGAGUACGGUCGCAAGAUUAAAACUCAAAGGAAUUGACGGGGGCCUGCACAAGCGGUGGAGCAUGUGGUUUAAUUCGAAGCAACGCGCAGAACCUUACCAGCGUUUGACAUCCUGAUCGCGGAAAUCGGAGACGAUUUCCUUCGGUUCGGCCGGAUCAGUGACAGGUGCUGCAUGGCCGCCGUCAG
rnacentral:rRNA from 1 species